AGCAGUUGCCCAGUGGUCUUCAUAUUAGAUGAAUUUGAUCUUUUUGCUCAUCAUAAAAACCAAACACUUCUCUAUAAUCUUUUUGACAUUUCUCAGUCUGCACAGACCCCAGUAGCAGUUAUUGGUCUUACAUGUAGAUUGGAUAUUUUGGAACUCUUAGAAAAAAGAGUGAAGUCAAGAUUUUCUCACCGGCAGAUACACUUAAUGAAUUCAUUUGGUUUUCCACAGUAUGUUAAAAUAUUUAAAGAACAGUUAUCUCUACCUGCAGAGUUUCCAGACAAGGUUUUUGCUGAGAAGUGGAAUGAAAAUGUUCAGGUAACUUAAAGGCAAUAAAGCUAAAUGUUCCUUGCUAUAUGAUUUAAAACAAUUAAAACACAAAUUUUAGAAAUUAGUAAAUUAACACAAAGUUUCUAAUAUUGCUGAGGGAUAACGCUGCGGGAAUACAAAUUAUAUACUUUUUAAAAAUUUUCUUCUUAUAACAGACAGUUGAAAUGUCGUAUCUCCUGAAUUCUAUCUCAAAAGAACAUCACAGUUAAGCUUUAGGAUUUAUGUUAUUAGUUUGAAGUAAACUUUAAUGAGGCUUUAGUUUUAUCUAUAUGUGGUUUAUAUUUUAGAUAAUUUUAUUUUAUAUAUUUUACAUAUUUAGCAAUAAUAAUAGUAAAUAAUGAUAAAUAAAUGUUAGUGACUCAUA
rnacentral:sRNA from 1 species